rnacentral:tRNA from 1 species
UUAGCUUAGUACACUAGUUUCGACCUAGUUUUUAAAAGGCUAAC